rnacentral:misc_RNA from 1 species
AAGACUAUAGACCUGCGGAGUACCUGCGGAAGGAUCAUUACUGAGGUUUGGCACGCGAGUGCCAUUGCCCGUCCUUGUGUCAUUGUGCUGGCCCGAUCUUUUCGGAUCGGGACAGCUGUACAUCAUUUCGGUCGAGGUGUUGGUCGCUUGGGGCUACCCGGCGUCUGACCGCGGCCGGCCAUACUUUAACACUCUUGUGAGCAAUUUGAAGUCUGAGACAAAACAAAAAACCUAAGCAAA